AACCUCCGCAAUGUGAGAAAUCGCGACGGGGGGAUCCCAAGUGCCAUUCUUAACGGGAUGGCUUUUCAUUAGUGUAAAGAGCUUUUGGAAUAAGAGCUGGGCAAGACCGGUGCCAGCCGCCGCGGUAACACCGGCAGCUCUAGUGGUAGCAAUUUUUAUUGGGCCUAAAGCGUCCGUAGCCGGUUUAAUAAGUCUCUGGUGAAAUCCUGUAGCUUAACUGUGGGAAUUGCUGGAGAUACUAUUAGACUUGAGACCGGGAGAGGUUAGAGGUACUCCCAGGGUAGAGGUGAAAUUCUGUAAUCUUGGGAGGACCGCCUGUUGCGAAGGCGUCUAACUGGAACGGUUCUGACGGUGAGGGACGAAAGUUAGGGGCGCGAACCGGAUUAGAUACCCGGGUAGUCCUAACUGUAAACGAUGCGGACUUGGUGUUGGGGUGGCUUUGAGCUGCUUCAGUGCCGAAGGGAAGCUGUUAAGUCCGCCGCCUGGGAAGUACGGUCGCAAGACUGAAACUUAAAGGAAUU
rnacentral:rRNA from 1 species